UUACUGAGGGGUUGUUACUAGCUAUCCCAAUGUCCUGAUACUUUUUCUAUAACCUCUGCCUCCAGCUCCCUGUGUUCCUGAGGAUGUGACAGUGGUAGCGUCCUGCAAGGCAGAAGGUACAGUGGUGUCCUGGGCUCACUCCUUGGUGGCCCAGUCCUACCUCCUCACCGCCACCAGCCGAGGCGGUGACGUCCGCACCUGUAACAGCUCUGUGAACAAAUGUACCCUGGCUAAGCUCCACUGUGGUCAGCCCUACACAUUCAGCGUGACCGCCAGCGCCAGCACCUGCACCAGCAAGGCCAGCCCCAACGUCACCUUCAGCACAGUGCCCUGUGACCCCAUUGGCCUGUCCGUUCAUGUCCAGUGUGAGACUAGCUCAGGCGUGCUGUCCUGGUCCCCCAGCCAGGGCUCUGUGGGGUACUACGGCUUUGCCCAGUCUGAGGAUGGGGACAUGCUGUACUGUGACAGCAUGGACACCAACUGCACAAUCCAGGGUCUUGACUGUGGAGCCAUGUACAACUUCUCUGUGCUGGCCUCUGAUGGAGCCUGCAACAGCUCAUACAGCCAACCCCUGCUUGAGGGAGCAGGUAAUAACCCAUCCAGUUCUUUCAGCUAGAGAUGGUUGAGAAGUAGAGUCAGUGAAUGAAUGACAUCAGGAGGACAGGGAACACUGCAUACAGUACAAUGUAUUCAAACGGUCUAAUCAGAUACUGGCUAACUAAUAUAGAGAUUAAUGCAAUAGUAUAGAUUCUAAUGAUCUUGAUUUCUUCUCUCUAUCCUUUCUAACCUCCUUCCUCUCUCCUCCUAGCCCCCUGCGCCCCUGCCACCGUGCGGAACCGCAUGCGACUAAUCGGCAAGACCCACUUUGCCCGUACCUCCUGGAGUGCGGUCGUCUGCCCCAAUGUCGAGUACCUGGUUGAGAUGACCGGCACUAUCCUGGAUGACCCGCAGGCCAUGUUUGAUGUCUCGUCCUAUUGGAUAAAGUACACCUUCUUUGAGUUGGCCCUGCCCUGUGGCUCCUCCUACAGUCUGACAGUCCGUACCAGGAACUCUGCCGGAACAAGCAAGCCCUCCACCCCCAUUACCGGGACAACAGCUCCCUGCGCACCUCUGGGCGUGAACUACACGGGUGACAACACGCCUGCCAUGCUGUCCUGGGAGGCUGCAGUGCUCGCCACACAGUACACCGUCUACGACGUGACCGGAGACAGCCGCACGCAGGUGUGUUCCACCACGGAACUGUCCUGUCAGCUUUACAACGUCCAGCCAGACGCCAUCGAGGUUACCGCUAGCAACGCUGUGGGAGAGAGCGUCCCCACCAAAGACAUCAACGGGCCAUCAAAUCGCCACAGAAGAGAUCUGGGGAUGGCAAAGCCUGCCACAUUUGCUGAAUUCCGCAUCAGAGAGGAGCUGUCCGAACCCAAGGUGUUAGUUGCUAUGGUAACAGGUGUUUCUCUGCACAUGGAGUGGGCACCGGUGAGGGACGCCACCCUCUACACCAUUAUCAUCGUCCAAGAAGACACACCCUCCAGACGCCAGGUGCUGACCGUCUCUGAAGAGCUGACCAAUGUGAACGACCUCGAGCCCUCCACAAGAUACUGCAUCUUCGUCUCGGCCAAGAACGAACACACCCAGAGCAACUACUCCAAGGAGUGUGUCACUACUGGAGUCCCCAUGUGAUUGGCUUGACUUUCACCCCAACCAAAUGGACAUUACAGUUGCCAGGGCAACCACCAAUCGAUGUAGUGUAAAGAGAAUCAUCAGUGACUGCUUCCUAUCCCUAGAAGUAAACACACAAGGCAGAAGAGAGGCUUUUCAACAGACUGAGGGACAGGGAGGGGUUACUGUUGUUAAGCUUAAAUUACUAUCACAAAAGGCAGUGUUUAUCGCAUAGAUGAUCCUACUAAAGAUAUGUUAUUUUCGAUUAACUUUAAAGCUGAAAUGUGGUAUUUUUUUGUUGUUACUUUUUAGAGCUAGGUAUCAUUUUCUUGUUUUUUUGUAGUCGGUAAGAUAGCAGCAUGUGUCUUUAUAAUGUGUAGUUCUUUGAAAAAAGUGUGCCUAAAAAUGUAUUUUUUAUUUAUCUUCAAAUUGUUAUAUUUUUGAGACCUACACGAACAACUUUUCUGUCCACUAAAUGUAUUUUAGAUUCUUCUGUUGGUUGUAUACAUGAUUUGAAACAAAGAAAAAGUAGAUAAAGAGAGCAAAUAAAUGCUAUCAAGCAAGUAGUAAUUUAUGAAGCAAUAUUUUUGUUAACCAUACAGUAUGUGU
rnacentral:lncRNA from 1 species